rnacentral:rRNA from 1 species
CCUACGGGAGGCAGCAGUGGGGAAUAUUGCGCAAUGGGGGCAACCCUGACGCAGCAACGCCGCGUGAUUGAAGAAGGCCUUCGGGUUGUAAAGAUCUUUAAUCGGGGACGAAUUUUGACGCUACCCGAAGAAUAAGCUCCGGCUAAAUACGUGCCAGCAGCCUCGGUACUACGUAGGGACCGAGCGUUAUCCGGAUUUACGGGGUUUAAAGGGAUUGUAGGGGGGAAUGCAAGCCAGAAGUGAAAUCUGGGGGCUUAACCCGCAAACUGCUUUUGGAACUGGGUGUCUUGAGUGAUGGAGAGGCAGGCGGAAUUCCCAGUGUAGCGGUGAAAUGCGUAGAUAUUGGGAGGAACACCAGUGGCGAAGGCAGCCUGCUGGACAGUAACUGACGUUGAGGCGCGAAAGCGUGGGGAGCAAACAGGAUUAGAUACCCUAGUAGUC